UACGGGGGGAGCAAGCGUUGUUCGGAUUUACUGGGCGUAAAGGGCGCGUAGGCGGCCAGCACAAGUCAGUUGUGAAAUCUCCGAGCUUAACUCGGAAAGGUCAACUGAUACUGUGCGGCUAGAGUGCAGAAGGGGCAACUGGAAUUCUUGGUGUAGCGGUGAAAUGCGUAGAUAUCAAGAGGAACACCUGCGGCGAAGGCGGGUUGCUGGGCUGACACUGACGCUGAGGCGCGAAUGCUAGGGGAGCGAACGGG
rnacentral:rRNA from 1 species